rnacentral:rRNA from 1 species
GACGAACGCUGGCGGCGUGCCUAAUACAUGCAAGUCGAGCGCUGAAGGUUGGUUCUUGUCCCGACUGGGUGAGCGGCGGACGGGUGAGUAACACGUGGGGAAUCUGCCUUUGAGCGGGGGACAACAUUUGGAAACGAAUGCUAACACCGCAUAAAAACUUUAAACACAAGGUUUAAGGGUGAAAGAUGCAUUUGCAUCACUCAAAGAUGAUCCCGCGUUGUAUUAGCUAGUUGGGGAGGUAAAGGCUCACCAAGGCGAUGAUACAUAGCCGGCCUGGGAGGGUGGACGGCCCCAAUUGGACUGGGACACGGCCCAAACUCCUACGGGAGGCAGCCGUAGGGGAUCUUUGGCCAUUGGCGGAAGGCUGAACGCACAACGCCGCGGGGUGUGAGGAGGGUCUCGGGUCGUAAAACUCUGUUGGUAGGGGAGAACGUUGGGGAGAGUGGAAAGCUCAUCUAGUGACGGUAACUACACAGAAAGCGACGGCUAACUACGUG